UGAAUGAGAUCUGAAACAAAAAGAAGGAAGCUUUAAGAAAAAUACCCACGGACUUCUGCAAGAAUGGGAGCGGGGUUUUAUCUGAAAGAAAAAAUAAAAUAAAAUAACUCGCUGAGGCUGGAAUCCAGUGAAAACCUUGAAAAAACAAAAGUGUAUACCUGAUCAAAGACAGAUCUUGCCUUCUCAAGUCCCUGGGAUUUGAAAAAUGCUUCGUUCUCUAUUCAAGAACCAUGAUGACGAUUGUGUUUGUUCUACAGUUUUUUUUUUUUUUAAUUUGCUGACAAAGUGAAAUAUGGAAUACUGUAUUCGCUUAUUUCAUGUUUGGCUCACAAUGGAUUGAGUUAUAUAAAGUAGGACAUGGACAAAUUGCAAAAACCAGAACAAGCAGGGUCCCUAAUAGUCUUAUAUAACUGCAAACAUUCUACAUCUGCUUUAAUCCAUCAUCUUCUUUGCUCCUCGCAUAAAAUAGUGUGGUUUUUCUCUCUCUGAUUUUUAAGUAAAAGAGAGUUUUCUGUACUGUAAAACUGAAAAACUUUUGAUGGGAAAGUAACUCAAAAAAUGCAAAGGGGGAAAUCUCUUCGGGUAUUUCAUUUGUAUGAGUCUAUUAACUCCCAAAGUACACUGCAAGCUGUGAUAAAGCAAAGCUAUUCUAAAUCUUCUUUUGCCUGAACAAGGUGUUUGUGACAAUAUUUCAUUGGCAUGAAAAUAGAGAAGUCAUCCCCAAUGCAUUGAGAUGUGUAAGGAUUUUCACCUAAGUUGGUAAACGAAAGGCUAACAACAAACUAGGCAACAAAGUAAUACUUUUAAUUUUUAAAAAAUGCAGCAACGUGAUUAGCUUAUGUGCCUCUGCAAUGUUUUAGUGUAAUCGUGAAUGUGACGUUUAUUAGACCGGACUGAAGAAUGCACCGAAUAUCAUGGCUUUUUUUUCUUUAUUGUAGCGAUACUAAUGAAGACAACUGUUUUUGUCUUGCCUUCUGACAAUAUUUAGAAUUUCUGGUGAAGGGUAGGAAUAAUAAUCCUGAAGUGUCUCAAUGUUUGCAAAAUAUUUGCUACUAAACAUUAUGAAGCCACAGAAAGUGAAAAGGCAAUUAAGAUUCACUAAUGCAACACGUCUUGUUUCAUAUAAGAAAAUCAGACAGCUCAAAGAAAAGGAGUCACCCACUAGAGAGGAUGGGGAAAUUUUACACAUAAAAAUGAAAGCAGUGAUGGUUUAGAAGUUUCUCCAUAUGUUUUUAUGCAUUAUGGUGUUGAAGAGUCCUUCCAAGUUUGACAAAACUCGAAGUCCUGUUGAAGCUAGAGGAGGGGUGCAUGCUGAUGAAGGGGCCAGAAAUAACAGAUUAAACCUUGUCUUGCUUCAUCCCGUGUUCCCUU